rnacentral:rRNA from 1 species
AUUGAACGCUGGCGGCAUGCCUUACACAUGCAAGUCGAACGGUAACAGGUCUUCGGAUGCUGACGAGUGGCGGACGGGUGAGUAAUACAUCGGAACGUGCCCAGACGUGGGGGAUAACGAGGCGAAAGCUUUGCUAAUACCGCAUACGAUCUAAGGAUGAAAGCAGGGGACCGCAAGGCCUUGUGCGUUUGGAGCGGCCGAUGGCAGAUUAGGUAGUUGGUGGGAUAAAAGCUUACCAAGCCGACGAUCUGUAGCUGGUCUGAGAGGACGACCAGCCACACUGGGACUGAGACACGGCCCAGACUCCUACGGGAGGCAGCAGUGGGGAAUUUUGGACAAUGGGCGAAAGCCUGAUCCAGCAAUGCCGCGUGCAGGAUGAAGGCCUUCGGGUUGUAAACUGCUUUUGUACGGAACGAAAAGGCUCUGGCUAAUACCUGGGGCACAUGACGGUACCGUAAGAAUAAGCACCGGCUAACUACGUG